CAAGCCCUGGAAACGGGGUCUAAUACCGGAUAUGACUGCCGGCCGCAUGGUCUGGUGGUGGAAAGCUCCGGCGGUGCAGGAUGAGCCCGCGGCCUAUCAGCUUGUUGGUGGGGUGAUGGCCUACCAAGGCGACGACGGGUAGCCGGCCUGAGAGGGCGACCGGCCACACUGGGACUGAGACACGGCCCAGACUCCUACGGGAGGCAGCAGUGGGGAAUAUUGCACAAUGGGCGCAAGCCUGAUGCAGCGACGCCGCGUGAGGGAUGACGGCCUUCGGGUUGUAAACCUCUUUCAGCAGGGAAGAAGCGCAAGUGACGGUACCUGCAGAAGAAGCACCGGCUAACUACGUGCCAGCAGCCGCGGUAAUACGUAGGGUGCGAGCGUUGUCCGGAAUUAUUGGGCGUAAAGAGCUCGUAGGCGGCCUGUCGCGUCGGAUGUGAAAGCCCGGGGCUUAACCCCGGGUCUGCAUUCGAUACGGGCAGGCUAGAGUUCGGCAGGGGAGAUCGGAAUUCCUGGU
rnacentral:rRNA from 1 species